rnacentral:misc_RNA from 1 species
AACGCACAUUGCGCCCCCUGGUAUUCCGGGGGGCAUGCCUGUUCGAGCGUCAUUUCACCAAUCAAGCCCCGCUUGGUAUUGGGCGCCCGGCUCGCCUCACUGCGGGCCCGCCCUAAAGGAAUCGGCGUGGACACCGACCCCCGGCGUGUUAGAUCUUUCACGAGAGACGUCAGGAGCACCGGUGGACGCUGCCGCGAAAGUCGAAGCCCUCGCGGGCCCAGACACCAUCUCAGGUUGACCUCGGAUCAGGUAGGAAUACCCGCUGAACUUAA